UUAGAAGGAGAUGUCAAAGAUGAAUAGGAGAACAAUAUUUGGUAGCCAAGGAUGACUUGCCUGCUUCUCUGAACAAAAUGGUCGAUGUCAUGUUUUGAAGUGACUAUAAGUUAUACCAAGAAAUGACCAUUUUGUUUAUAAAUAGACAUCAGGCAGUCUCCUUGGCUAUCCUUAUAUGUUCUUCUUUCUCAACUCAGAUAUUUACCUUCAUCC